GACGAACGCUGGCGGCGUGCUUAACACAUGCGAGUCGAACGGAAAGGCCCUGCUUUUGUGGGGUGCUCGAGUGGCGAAAGGGUGAGUAACACGUGAGUAACCUGCCCUUGACUUUGGGAUAACUUCAGGAAACUGGGGCUAAUACCGGAUAGGAGCUCCUGCUGCAUGGUGGGGGUUGGAAAGUUUCGGCGGUUGGGGAUGGACUCGCGGCUUAUCAGCUUGUUGGUGGGGUAGUGGCUUACCAAGGCUUUGACGGGUAGCCGGCCUGAGAGGGUGACCGGCCACAUUGGGACUGAGAUACGGCCCAGACUCCUACGGGAGGCAGCAGUGGGGAAUAUUGCACAAUGGGCGGAAGCCUGAUGCAGCAACGCCGCGUGCGGGAUGACGGCCUUCGGGUUGUAAACCGCUUUCGCCUGUGACGAAGCGUGAGCGACGGUAAUGGGUAAAGAAGCACCGGCUAACUACGUG
rnacentral:rRNA from 1 species